UACAGAGGAGCCAAGCGUUGUCCGGAUUGACUGGGCGUAAAGCGCACGCAGGCGGAUGCGCGCGUGGGGUGUGAAAUCUGGCCGCUCAACGGCCAGGCGCCAUCCCAUACGGCGCGUCUGGAGUGAUGCAGAGGUCGGUGGAAUUGCCGGUGUAGUGGUGAAAUGCGUAGAGAUCGGCAGGGACACCCAGGGGGAAACCAGCCGACUGGGCAUCUACUGACGCUGAGGUGCGAGAGCGUGGGGAGCGAACCGG
rnacentral:rRNA from 1 species